UAACGUUUUGAAAAGAACGCUAAUACCGCAUAACAUAUCGGAACCGCAUGAUUCUGAUAUCAAAGGAGCAAUCCGCUGAGAGAUGGGCUCGCGUCCGAUUAGUUAGUUGGUGAGGUAACGGCUCACCAAGACUACGAUCGGUAGCCGGACUGAGAGGUUGAUCGGCCACAUUGGGACUGAGACACGGCCCAGACUCCUACGGGAGGCAGCAGUGGGGGAUAUUGCGCAAUGGGGGAAACCCUGACGCAGCAACGCCGCGUGAAGGAAGAAGGUCUUCGGAUUGUAAACUUCUUUUGUCAGGGACGAAGAAAGUGACGGUACCUGACGAAUAAGCUCCGGCUAACUACGUGCCAGCAGCCGCGGUAAUACGUAGGGAGCGAGCGUUGUCCGGAUUUACUGGGUGUAAAGGGUACGUAGGCGGCCGAGCAAGUCAGUUGUGAAAACUAUGGGCUUAACCCAUAACGUGCAAUUGAAACUGUCCGGCUUGAGUGAAGUAGAGGUAGGCGGAAUUCCCGGUGUAGCGGUGAAAUGCGUAGAGAUCGGGAGGAACACCAGUGGCGAAGGCGGCCUACUGGGCUUUAACUGACGCUGAGGCACGAAAGCAUGGGUAGCAAACAGGAUUAGAUACCCUGGUAGUCCAUGCCGU
rnacentral:rRNA from 1 species